UCCGGUUUGUCACCGGCAGUCACCUUAGAGUGCCCAACUGAAUGCUGGCAACUAAGAUCAAGGGUUGCGCUCGUUGCGGGACUUAACCCAACAUCUCACGACACGAGCUGACGACAACCAUGCACCACCUGUCACUCUGUCCCCCGAAGGGGAACGUCCUAUCUCUAGGAGUGUCAGAGGAUGUCAAGACCUGGUAAGGUGGGGAUGACGUGUAACCGAAUCU
rnacentral:misc_RNA from 1 species